GGACUUUAUGGUAUGGGGGGAGUAGGAAAAACCACCCUCUUAGAAAGUCUCAACAACAAAUUUGUUGAACUGGAGAGUGAAUUUGAUGUAGUGAUAUGGGUUGUGGUAUCUAAAGACUUUCAGUUCGAGGGCAUUCAAGAUCAGAUUCUGGGAAGAUUACGUUCUGACAAGGAAUGGGAAAGAGAAACAGAAAGUAAGAAAGCCUCUCUCAUAUACAAUAACCUUGAGAGAAAGAAAUUUGUGUUGUUGUUGGAUGAUCUCUGGAGUGAAGUAGAUAUGACUAAGAUAGGAGUUCCACCUCCAACUCGAGAAAAUGGAUCGAAGAUUGUUUUCACCACUCGUUCAACGGAAGUUUGCAAGCACAUGAAAGCUGACAAGCAGAUAAAAGUUGCUUGUUUGUCCCCAGAUGAAGCGUGGGAAUUGUUUCGACUUACUGUUGGAGAUAUCAUAUUAAGGAGCCAUCAAGAUAUUCCCGCACUUGCAAGAAUAGUUGCUGCAAAAUGCCAUGGCUUGCCACUUGCACUCAAUGUCAUUGGCAAAGCCAUGUCAUGUAAAGAAACUAUACAAGAAUGGUCUCAUGCGAUUAAUGUUCUGAAUUCGGCUGGCCACGAGUUUCCAGGUAUGGAAGAAAGAAUUCUUCCCAUUUUGAAGUUCAGUUAUGAUAGCUUGAAGAAUGGUGAAAUCAAAUUGUGCUUCCUAUAUUGUUCUCUGUUUCCUGAAGAUUCUGAAAUACCGAAGGAGAAGUGGAUAGAAUACUGGAUAUGCGAAGGAUUUAUAAAUCCAAACAGAUAUGAAGAUGGAGGUACCAACCAUGGUUAUGAUAUAAUUGGCUUGUUAGUUCGUGCACAUUUGUUGAUUGAAUGUGAACUCACAGACAACGUUAAAAUGCAUGAUGUGAUACGUGAGAUGGCUCUUUGGAUAAAUUCUGACUUCGGAAAACAACAAGAAACAAUCUGUGUGAAAUCUGGUGCUCAUGUACGUAUGAUACCGAAUGACAUCAAUUGGGAGAUUGUGAGAACGAUGUCUUUUACUUGUACUCAGAUUAAGAAGAUAUCUUGUCGUUCCAAAUGCCCCAACCUUUCAACCCUUUUAAUCCUAGAUAACAGGUUGUUGGUGAAAAUUUCAAAUAGAUUCUUUCGGUUUAUGCCAAAACUUGUGGUCUUGGAUCUUUCUGCAAACCUCGAUCUUAUUAAAUUGCCGGAAGAAAUUUCUAACCUAGGUUCCCUGCAAUAUCUCAAUAUAUCACUCACAGGGAUAAAAUCGCUACCAGUUGGUCUGAAGAAGUUGAGGAAACUAAUCUACUUGAAUCUGGAGUUCACUGGUGUACAUGGGAGUCUUGUUGGGAUAGCAGCAACCUUACCAAAUCUGCAAGUGUUGAAAUUCUUUUAUUCCUGUGUUUAUGUUGAUGACAUAUUAAUGAAGGAAUUACAAGACUUGGAGCACUUGAAGAUUUUAACAGCAAACGUAAAGGAUGUCACGAUUUUGGAAAGGAUACAAGGAGAUGACAGAUUGGCGAGUAGUAUUCGAAGUUUAUGUCUAGAAGAUAUGUCAACACCUCGUGUAAUAUUAAGCACGAUAGCUCUGGGAGGUCUUCAACAACUUGCAAUUCUGAUGUGCAACAUAUCCGAGAUAAGGAUAGAUUGGGAAAGCAAAGAAAGAAGGGAGCUUUCACCAACGGAGAUUCUUCCAUCUACAGGUUCUCCAGGCUUCAAGCAACUCUCCACUGUUUAUAUAAACCAGUUGGAAGGGCAAAGGGAUUUGUCAUGGCUGUUAUAUGCUCAAAAUCUAAAGAAACUAGAAGUGUGCUGGUCACCACAAAUAGAAGAAAUAAUAAAUAAGGAGAAAGGAAUGAAUAUUACCAAACUGCAUCGAGAUAUUGUUGUUCCAUUUGGGAACCUGGAAGACCUUGCGCUACGUCAAAUGGCGGACCUCACGGAAAUUUGCUGGAAUUAUCGGACUCUCCCUAACCUUAGAAAAUCAUAUAUCAACGAUUGUCCAAAGCUACCUGAAGAUAUUUUCGUGCCUCUGCUUCCUGAAAAGAGUCCUUCACGUUUUUUUUUCUUUUAAGUCUAUGUAUGCAUUUGCUUCCUUGUGUGUAGGAACGUGUAGUUCCAAUUUUGUUUCCUAAUAUAUUAUAAAUGAAAAAGCCAAAAAAAAAAAGGCAGAGAAAUUUGCCUGAAGAAUUUUUGUUCUUGUGUUUUUUUCUUUCAUGCUUUGAUUGGGACCUUAUCAGUGGAGAUUAAGAAU
rnacentral:sRNA from 1 species